CACUCGCGCCAGCACAGGCACAAGCGCAUCACCCACGCACUUCCUCGUCGCCGCCGCCACAAUGAGGACAGACAAAUGCGUAUCUGAGGCAGUGCAAACGUUCCGAGAGGCACAGAACCUGCUUUCUACCCUCUACACCCACCUCUCUGCACUGGAGAACAUCAUGACGCAGAAAGGCGCGCUGGUCGGAGCUGCGCGUCGGCGUGAGCAGUGCUUUGCGAAGGCGCUGCCUGUAUCGCAUUUCCUUUGCAUGGAUACGGGCACGGAAGAAAGUACGCCGCCGGAGGCUACAACGGCAGGCCCCAGCUGCGUGCACACCACCUCUUCAGUGAUGACUUCUCCACUGGGUGUACUGGCGGCGUUUUCGGCUUCCACAGUUCACCACCUUGUUGCCCAGCACCAGCGAGACGUGGAGGAGCUUCUCGGGGUCGUCUCCCGCAUCACGCAGCAGUCUUGGCCGCAGAAGGUGGAGCAGCUCAAAUCCAAGAUUGCGCAGCUCGAAAGGGCGAGCGAAGUAGGUGAAGCACCUGGACAUCCUCCGUCAGCGAGCGGUAUUGCCGCCGUCUCGUCAACGUCUGCGUCAUCCUCGUACUUUGCCACCGCCCCGGAGCUGUCCGUCGCGCUCUACGGAUUUGCCGCCUGCCUGCUGAAAAUGGGGAGUGUGUUACAGGAAAUGAUGCUGGCGCUCCGCAAGGAUGCCAGGCUCUCUCUCAUGGCACACUCCGCUCCCUGUUCAGCCGCUCUGUUGACGUCCACCUCCGCCGACACGGCGAGUCACCUUGCCGCUAUGCUGGCUCGCGAAGACAGGACGAGUGAAGGUAUGUCCUUGCUGCCGAUGCACUCCUCUCACUGGGGGUCCUUGAACGAGGCCACGUCCGCCUCGAGCCCCUUCUCUAGAGCAGCAGGCGUUCAGGCGGCACCGCUGCAGCCAAUGCGGCUCGUGGACGCAGUGGGAAAGCUCAAGUCUUUCUUGGAGGGGCGCUGGAAGAGCUGCUGCGACAGCUACCUCGCUCCCGAAUCGCACCUGCUGCUCGCCCUUGUUUAGCAUCUUUACAUAGUGAUGUGGUGCCAAGAAGUACGUGUGUGCGCGGGCGCCUGAGGAUGGUUUUCCUGCCCUUCCUCUUUUUCGCUGGACGGGCAGUGUUUACUUCGAUGAAGUACCGCCGUCCUCGGCGUCUCUGCGAGAGUGCUCGCGUCUCCCACGUGAAGAGCAUGGAAUGACAGACU
rnacentral:misc_RNA from 1 species